GAUCCCUACGGGGGGCAGCAGUGAGGAAUUUUGGUCAAUGGGCGAGAGCCUGAACCAGCCAAGUCGCGUGAAGGAUGACGGCCCUACGUGUUGUAAACUUCUUUUGUCAGGGAGCAAUUGAGUCCACGUGUGGUCUUAGCGAGAGUACCUGAAGAAAAAGCAUCGGCUAACUCCGUGCCAGCAGCCGCGGUAAUACGGAGGAUGCGAGCGUUAUCCGGAUUUAUUGGGUUUAUAGGGUGCGUAGGCGGAAUAUCAAGUCAGCGGUAAAAAUUCGGGGCUCAACCCCGUCG
rnacentral:rRNA from 1 species